ACCACGCCUGGCUAAUUUUUGUAUUUUUAGUAGAGACAGGGUUUGGCCAUGUUGGCCAGACUGGUCUUGAACUCCUGGCCUCAAGUGAUCUGCCAGCCUCAGCCUCCCAAAGUGCUGGGAUUACAGGUGUGAGACACCGUGCCUGGCUGAUUUCCUUGCUGAAUAGGUUAGUGGUUUUCAAACUCUGGAAGACUAUUUUCUCAUUUUUUGGUAUUAUUCACAAUCUAACAGCUAUAGAUAUGGCACACCUUUGAGUUUUAUCUGCAUUAUUAACAUUGUUUCUAUUGCUUUCUUUCCUCUAGAUAGACAACAAAAGAAUAGAUCAAGCCUGAUUUAUAGCAUUUGCUGAUUUCUGAGUUGUAAGUGUUCCCACUGUGGCUGAUUUCAAGCAGUUAACUUCAAUGUGAUGUUGGGAAGAGACACAAUUGCACACUAUUAUACAGUAUUUCAACUCUACAGAUACUGUAGACAUAAAUCAUCUGAAGAGCACAGCAGUAGAAGUGGCUGGCAGUGGAAUUUGGGUCUGGGCCUCGUGCUG
rnacentral:lncRNA from 10 species